UGGAGAGAUGCAAGAGUGGUUGAAUUGGACAGUCUCGAAAACUGCUGUGCCGCAAGGUACCGGGGGUUCGAAUCCCCCUCUCUCCGU
rnacentral:tRNA from 1 species